CCAAAUAUGAUUGUUAAAUUUCCUUGAAAUAACAAAACCCUGGCUACAUUCGAUAUAUGUUGGUGUUUUCGUUCCACACGACCAUUUUGUUGUGGAGUCCCUACACACGAGGUUUCAAACACAACACCAUUUUCUGAAAAAUAAAGUUGGAGAGCAUUGAUUUUUGUCUAGUUAUCACUACAUACAACUUUAACAUUCUUGUCAAAUUGUCUUUUAACAAAGGGCAAAAAAGUUAAUCAUAGUUUGUGGAAUAGCAAAAAUACCCGUACAGCUCUCGAAAAUCAUCCGCAAUUGUUAGUAAACAAGUAUCAGUCUGUUACAAAGUCAUAUACCCAUCUAUUGUAUCUAACCUGAGAUAAAUUACAAAUCAAAGGUUUUUAAUCCCAUAAAAUAACUAUUCAAAUCCAUUUUCGCUUGCUUAUCCUACUGGUCACAUGGAGGUCGUCGAGUCGACGAAACAGGAUGAAGAAGGCGCAAGCAGGAGGUCGGAGGCCGUUCUGUGAAAAUAAGCCACUGGUUGAUCCGUUAAAUCCGAAAUCAAAGAGGUUUGAUUCUGCUUUUGCAAACACACAGAGAUAAGAUAUAUAGAAAGGGUAACCGAUAAGUUUUAUUUUUUUGACUCUAGAUAGAGUAGGGAUGUUCAUCUACAACGGCGUGGUGCCAUUGACACAAAUGCCAACCUAGAUUUAUUCUUCAACAAUUAAUUCUUUGCCUAUGAAAUUAUAGUAUUAAGGAAAGGUAUCAUAGAGAAGGGAAAAAGGAAAGUAAAAAAAGAAAAGAAAAAAAAAGAAUGUCGUCGGUGAACCUUCACCGUUGAAGAUUGUCGGCGAUGGAGAUAUUGGGUACAAGGCGGUGUUUACCGCCGGCAAUACGUGCCACGUAAGAAUGUAUGCGAUAAAAACUCUGACACCUUACCUAAGACCGGGAAGUAGAUGGUCAAAAGGAAAUGAUGACAACAAAUUAGCUAUAAUUUGUUUGGGGAAGCUACGUAUGAAUCGAGAUAUUAGCUGAGAUCUUAGGAUUAACUUUGACACGUUCAUGGAUUAAAAAGAUCAGGUCGAAAAUACAAGAAAUAAGGGCAUCUAGGCUGAAGGGCAUGAAGAAAAUCGGAUUUCUUCCCAACGAUUGAAAUGCAAAUCCCCAAGAUGCAACGAUCAAAUUUUGGACGGCAGAAACUCAUGGUGGCGUUAUAUUGCUGACAAAAAUAGCGUCAUGAGCCGCUUUUCACCGGAAGUGAAAGUAGUCACGUGGGAUUGUAGCCGGCAAACCCACUACCACACCGUGUGGCCUUAUGCAUUACUUAUUGUAAUUUCAAUUAAAAUGUACUUAAAAUUUUAGGAGCAAUUAAAUGUACCAUUCAGUAUAUUUAUUCCUUGUUAA